rnacentral:rRNA from 1 species
CAGUCGCCCGGGAAUACAGAGGGUGCGAGCGUUAAUCGGAUUUACUGGGCGUAAAGCGUGCGUAGGCGGCUAAUUGAGUCGGAUGUGAAAUCCCCGAGCUUAACUUGGGAAUUGCAUUCGAUACUGGUUAGCUAGAGUGUGGGAGAGGAUGGUAGAAUUCCAGGUGUAGCGGUAAAAUGCGUAGAGAUCUGGAGGAAUACCGAUGGCGAAGGCAGCCAUCUGGCCUAACACUGACGCUGAGGUACGAAAGCAUGGGGAGCAAACAGGAUUAGAUACCCCUGUAGUCCCUGUCUCUUAUACA